rnacentral:rRNA from 1 species
UACGUAGGGCGCAAGCGUUGUCCGGAAUUAUUGGGCGUAAAGAGCUCGUAGGCGGCUUGUCACGUCGGGUGUGAAAGCCCGGGGCUUAACCCCGGGUCUGCAUUCGAUACGGGCUAGCUAGAGUGUGGUAGGGGAGAUCGGAAUUCCUGGUGUAGCGGUGAAAUGCGUAGAUAUCUGGAGGAACACCGGUGGCGAAGGCGGCAUUCUGGACUACAACUGACACUGAGGAACGAAAGCCAGGGGAGCAAACGGG